AGACAGAAGUGAGGUGAAGUUAUGAAUGCAUACAUGAAGAGCAUUUAAAUUAAAAUCUCUACUGACCAAAGUCUAUCAUAGGAAAUACACAAACCAGGGGCAAUAGAAUAUGUUCUUGCUGUUAGUCUGAACGUGUGCGACAGACACCGGUGUGGCUCUGCCUUCUCUCAUAAGUCACUUGACAAAUCCAUCUUCAAACAAGAACUCGGUCUACCACCAUUCAAGUGUAACACUAAUAGCAUCUGCCCAUGAAGCACAUGAUACACUGAGGCAGCUUGUAAUACCAGCUUUCCACGAAUGAUAUGAUCAAGCGUAGCAGCACGGAUGACAGUGAAAUGGAUCCCUGAAGCAGCUCCUCCAGCAGCACGCUGGGGGCGCUUCAUGCUCCCGCACCCACAGACGCGUCGGCCUGCAGCCUGGCAGGGCGCAGGGGGUUGUGACACGGUUGUAAAGACACGGUAUGCAGAGACUCGGUGGGCAAGGGUGUGCAGGACUCACCGUCCCCCAUGUGAGCUGGGGGCCCAGGUCCCUGAAGUAAAAGCUGGCUGUGGUUCCCACAGGAAGUGUCUGCAGAAUUUCUUCAUCCCUGAGACACUUUGACUCUAAACAACACGACAGCCGAGAUGAGACCAGACAACAUCACAUAUCUUCGUCACAAAACCUCUCGAGGAACGACAAUAAGUAGCAUAAAUGCAGAAUUUGUUGUAAGAAAGCAGACGCACUUGGAUCCAAACUCAGGGACUGUCUGGCUGGAUACCACUUUGGAUCUGUCGAAAUGGAGAGGGACUUUACGCUCGGCAUGCUCCAGAGACUAUCUAUUGAAUAUUAAGGCGGCAGCACUUGACUCCGACGUGAGAGGAAUGCUGUGACAUGGGACUCCAUGGGAUCGCUUGUCAUCAGAGUGCCACUCAUGUUUA